rnacentral:rRNA from 1 species
AUUGAACGCUGGCGGCAGGCCUAACACAUGCAAGUCGAGCGGAGCGGCGGACGGGUGAGUAAUGCCUAGGAAUCUGCCUGGUAGUGGGGGAUAACGUCCGGAAACGGGCGCUAAUACCGCAUACUAUCAGAUGAGCCUAGGUCGGAUUAGCUAGUUGGAGGGGUAAAGGCCUACCAAGGCGACGAUCCGUAACUGGUCUGAGAGGAUGAUCAGUCACACUGGAACGGAGACACGGUCCAGACUCCUAGGGUGGGCAGCGGUGGGGAAUAUUGGACAAUGGGCGAAAGCCUGAUCCAGCCAUGCCGGGUGUGUGAAUAAGGCCUUCGGGUUGUAAAGCACUUUCAGCGGGGAGGCGUUACCCGCAGAAGAAGCACCGGCUAACUCCGUGCCAGCCGCCGCGGUAAUA